rnacentral:lncRNA from 1 species
ACAACAACAUUUUCAUCAUUUCCACAAAUCAAUCAAUUUUCACGGGUUUAAUAGCACUAUUUUCAUCAUUUACACAAUUAAAUAUAUUUCAUGGGUUCAACAACAACAUUUUCAUCAUUCCCAUAAUUCAUUCAAAUUUCAUGGGUUAAACAGCAUCAUUUUCAUCAUUCACACAAUUCAAUCAAAUUUCAUGGGUUUAACAACAACAAUUUCAUCAUGCGCACAUUUUAACCAAUUUUCAUGAGUUUAACAACAAUAAUUUCAUCAUUUUCACAAUUCAAUCAACUUUCAUGGGUUUAACAACAACAUUUUCAUCAUUGACACAAUUCAAUCAAAUUUCAUGG